rnacentral:piRNA from 1 species
UCACCCUGCGUGUCCUGCUCCAACUUCCUG